rnacentral:rRNA from 1 species
GACGAACGCUGGCGGCGUGCUUAACACAUGCAAGUCGAACGAAGAGCGAUGGAAGCUUGCUUCUAUCAAUCUUAGUGGCGAACGGGUGAGUAACGCGUAAUCAACCUGCCCUUCAGAGGGGGACAACAGUUGGAAACGACUGCUAAUACCGCAUACGAUCUAAUCUCGGCAUCGAGGAUAGAUGAAAGGUGGCCUCUACAUGUAAGCUAUCACUGAAGGAGGGGAUUGCGUCUGAUUAGCUAGUUGGAGGGGUAACGGCCCACCAAGGCGAUGAUCAGUAGCCGGUCUGAGAGGAUGAACGGCCACAUUGGGACUGAGACACGGCCCAGACUCCUACGGGAGGCAGCAGUGGGGAAUCUUCCGCAAUGGACGAAAGUCUGACGGAGCAACGCCGCGGGAGUGAUGACGGCCUUCGGGUUGUAAAGCUCGGUUAAUCGGGACGAAAGGCCUUCUUGCGAAUAGUGAGAAGGAUUGACGGUACCGGAAGAGAAAGCCACGGCUAACUACGUG